AGAGUUUGAUCCUGGCUCAGAACGUACGCUGGCGGCACGCCUAACACAUGCAAGUCGAACGAAGUAGCAAUACUUAGUGGCAGACGGGUGAGUAACAUGUAGGUAUCUGCCCUUUGGCCUAGAAUAACACGAGGAAACUUGUGCUAAUACUGGAUAAGUCUUUACGGAGAAAGCUUUAUGCACCAUUGGAUGAGCCUGCACUUGAUUAGUUUGUUGGUGGGGUAAUGGCCUACCAAGACUGUGAUCAAUAGCUGAUUUGAGAGGAUGAUCAGCCACAUUGGGACUGAGACACGGCCCAAACUCCUACGGGAGGCAGCAGUGGGGAAUCUUGCACAAUGGAGGAAACUCUGAUGCAGCGAUGCCGCGUGAGUGAAGAAGGCCUUUGGGUUGUAAAGCUCUUUCGUCGGGGAAGAAAAUGACUGUACCCGAAUAAGAAGGUCCGGCUAACUUCGUGCCAGCAGCCGCGGUAAUACGAAGGGACCUAGCGUAGUUCGGAUUUACUGGGCUUAAAGAGUUCGUAGGUGGUUGAAAAAGUUGAUGGUGAAAUCCCAGAGCUUAACUCUGGAACUGCCAUCAAAACUUUUCAGCUAGAGUAUGAUAGAGGAAAGCAGAAUUUCUAGUGUAGAGGUGAAAUUCGUAGAUAUUAGAAAGAAUACCAAUUGCGAAGGCAGCUUUCUGGAUCAUUACUGACACUGAGGAACGAAAGCAUGGGUAGCGAAGAGGAUUAGAUACCCUCGUAGUCCAUGCCGUAAACGAUGUGUGUUAGACGUUGGAAAUUUAUUUUCAGUGUCGCAGCGAAAGCGAUAAACACACCGCCUGGGGAGUACGACCGCAAGGUUAAAACUCAAAUGAAUUGACGGGGACCCGCACAAGUAGUGGAGCAUGUGGUUUAAUUCGAAGAUACGCGCAGAACCUUACCAACACUUGACAUGUUCGUCGCGACUCUAAGAGAUUAGAGUUUUCGGUUCGGCCGGACGAAACACAGGUGCUGCAUGGCUGUCGUCAGCUCGUGUCGUGAGAUGUUGGGUUAAGUCCCGCAACGAGCGCAACCCUCACUUUUAGUUGCCAUCAUUAAGUUGGGCACUCUGAAAGAACUGCCAGUGAUAAGCUGGAGGAAGGUGGGGAUGACGUCAAGUCCUCAUGGCCCUUACGUGUUGGGCUACACACGUGCUACAAUGGUAUCUACAACAGGAAGCAAGACUGCGAGGUCAAGCAAAUCCUUAAAAGAUACCUCAGUUCGGAUUGCACUCUGCAACUCGAGUGCAUGAAGCUGGAAUUACUAGUAAUCGUGGAUCAGCGUGCCACGGUGAAUGCGUUCCCGGGUCUUGUACACACCGCCCGUCACACCAUGGGAGUUGGUUCUACCUUAAGGCAAGGUUUUAAACCCUUGACCACGGUAUAGUCAGCGACUGGGGUGAAGUCGUAACAAGGUAACC
rnacentral:rRNA from 2 species